GACGAACGCUGGCGGCGUGCUUAACACAUGCUAGUCGAACGAUGAAGCCGGAGCUUGCUCUGGUGAAUUAGUGGCGAACAGGUGAGUAACACGUGAGUAACCUGCCCUUGACUCUGGGAUAACUGCUAGAAAUGGUAGCUAAUACCGGAUACGACCCUCGGAGGCAUCUCCAGGGGGUGGAAGGAAUUUCGGUCAAGGAUGGACUCGCGGCCUAUCAGCUAGUUGGUGAGGUAAGGGCUCACCAAGGCGACGACGGGUAGCCGGCCUGAGAGGCGGACCGGCCACACGGGGGCUGAGACACGGCCCAGACGCCUACGGGAGGCAGCAGUGGGGAAUAUUGCACAAGGGGCGCAAGCCUGAUGCAGCAACGCCGCGUGGGGGACGACGGCCUUCGGGUUGUAAACCGCUUUCAGCAGGGAAGAGGCCGCAAGGUGACGGUACCUGCAGAAGAAGCACCGGCUAACUACGUGCCAGCCGCCGCGGUAA
rnacentral:rRNA from 1 species